GUCCCUGUAGCGCAAUAAUAGCUCUUUGGAAUAUAAAUCCAAAGGUCGUGCGUUCGAAUCCCACCUGAGAUG